GGCCGCGGGAAUUCGAUUCAGGCCUAACACAUGCAAGUCGAGCGAUCUUCUUCGGAAGAGAGCGGCGGACGGGUGAAUAACGCGUGGGUAACCUGCCCUGUACACACGGAUAACAUACCGAAAGGUAUGCUAAUACGAGAUAACAUACUUUUAUCGCAUGGUAAAAGUAUCAAAGCUCCGGCGGUACAGGAUGGACCCGCGUCUGAUUAGCUAGUUGGUAAGGUAACGGCUUACCAAGGCGACGAUCAGUAGCCGACCUGAGAGGGUGAUCGGCCACAUUGGAACUGAGACACGGUCCAAACUCCUACGGGAGGCAGCAGUGGGGAAUAUUGCACAAGUGGGCGAAAGCCUGAUGCAGCAACGCCGCGUGAGUGAAAGAGGCCUUCGGGUCGUAAAGCUCUGUCCUCAAGGAAGAUAAUGAC
rnacentral:rRNA from 1 species